rnacentral:rRNA from 1 species
GAUGAACGCUGGCGGCGUGCCUAAUACAUGCAAGUCGAGCGAACGGACGAGAAGCUUGCUUCUCUGAUGUUAGCGGCGGACGGGUGAGUAACACGUGGAUAACCUACCUAUAAGACUGGGAUAACUUCGGGAAACCGGAGCUAAUACCGCAUAAUAUUUUGAACCGCAUGGUUCAAAAGUGAAAGACGGUCUUGCUGUCACUUAUAGAUGGAUCCGCGCUGCAUUAGCAAGUUGGUAAGGUAACGGCUUACCAAGGCAACGAUGCAUAGCCGCCCUGAGAGGGGGAUCGGCCACACUGGAACUGGAACACGGUCAAGACUCCUACGGGAGGCAGCAGUAGGGAAUCUUCCGCAAUGGGCGAAAGCCUGACGGGGCAACGCCGCGGGGGUGAUGAAGGUCUUCGGAUCGUAAAACUCUGUUGUUAGGGAAGAACAUAUGUGUAAGUAACUGUGCACAUCUUGACGGUACCUAAUCAGAAAGCCACGGCUAACUACGUG